UUGGAGGGCAAGUCUGGUGCCAGCAGCCGCGGUAAUUCCAGCUCCAAUAGCGUAUAUUAAAGUUGUUGCAGUUAAAAAGCUCGUAGUUGAAUUUCGGGGUUCUACCGUUGGUCAGGCAAUAGUCUGUACUGGCGUGUAGAAUUUCUACCUUCUGGGGAACCAUCAUGUUAUUUAUUUAGCGUGAUGGGAAACCAGGACCUUUACCUUGAAAAAAUUAGAGUGUUCAAAGCAGGCUUACGUCUGAAUACAUUAGCAUGGAAUAAUAAAAUAGGACGGUGGU
rnacentral:rRNA from 1 species